rnacentral:rRNA from 1 species
UAUGUGAUCGUCUCUCGCAUAUCAAUAAGCGGAGGAAAAGAAACUAACAAGGAUUCCCCUAGUAACGGCGAGUGAAGCGGGAAGAGCUCAAAUUUGAAAUCUUAAAGGGUUUCCCUUUACGAAUUGUAGUUUAAAGAAGUGUUUUCUGUUGAGGUUUUGGUAAAAGUUCUUUGGAAUAGGACAUCAUAGAGGGUGAGAAUCCCGUAUUUGACCUUUACUUUCAACUUUGUGAUACACUUUCAAAGAGUCGGAUUGUUUGGGAAUGCAGUCCAAAAUGGGUGGUAAAUUUCAUCUAAAGCUAAAUAUUGGCGAGAGACCGAUAGCGAACAAGUACCGUGAGGGAAAGAUGAAAAGAACUUUGAAAAGAGAGUUAAGACAGUACGUGAAAUUGUCAAAAGGGAAGCGUUUGACACCAGUGUUGUUUUUCUGAAAAUCAAUUAAAGAACUGUUUAUGCUAAGUUGUUUAGACCUUAUAUCAGCUAAUCUGUUUAGUUUUGAGCUUUUCUUUAAUGCACUUUUCAGUUAACAAGUCAACAUCAAUUUCUUUUGCUGUAAAAAAGCUUGAGGAAGGUGGCUUGAGAUUCGUCCUUAAGUGUUUAUAGCCUCUUGCCUAUGCAGUCGGAGAGAUUGAGGUCUGCAGCGUAGAUCCUUCGGGGCUAAAUGCAUUUGUGCUAAGUUAUAGCAUUUUAUAGACAACUUGUUGACUAUGAUUUGUCUUGUAGCUUACUCGCUUAUGUUAUUUUACCUACGCUUAGGAUGUUGAGUAGCGACAUACGCAC